ACCCUCUCAGGGUCGUAUCUGGAGAGUUUCCAGGCCUCUACCAGUCUCGGCUAUGGGAGGGAGAGUCGAGCAGAGGCCUGUCCGUUCCAUUCUUAGUUUAGCCAGUGGCUAGCGAGUGGAAGGCCGUCUGCUACAAGU